CACUAGGUUCUAAAAUAGUGCAUCCGGUGGCAGAAAUGUCAUCAUGUUACUCAACCUCUUUUCAACAGGAGUCUUGGAAUUUGGACGACAUCCCCACCAAACUUCAAUCAAGAGGAAAGAGAUCUCCAGAAUCUUGGAACGAAAGUUGCUAUCCAAAGUCCAUCAUAAACUACAUCGUUGUCCAAGCAAGCAGUACUCUGACAUCAAAUGCCCCAAAUUUGAAUAAAUAUUGGAGUAGCAACUUGGGGACUUUUGAUAUGUAUGAUCAAAGAAAUGAUUGCCUAAGGAUGACCCGAGACAAAUUUAGUAAUUAACGAAAAUGAAGAAAAAAAUGUACAUUUACCUGAAUGUCAUAUUCUACCUUUGGUAGCAUUUUCCUAACAGGGCAUAUUAAACAUAAAGGUAAACUAAAAACGGGAACAGUAAGUCUAUGUCAUUAUGAUUGCCUCCAAGCACAAAUAAAUCACAUAGCUUGGCCACAUUCCAACAUUUGGCUAAAAACCAGCAACGUUUCAUUGGGUUUAAGUGAGGGCUUCUCAUGAUACGAUUUCUGAAUAAUUUACGUAUGUUUCAUAUUUAAAUAAAGCUGACUUCCACACCUUUCAUCAUAGAAAUAACCAUAUUGGUUUAUUUCUCUUCCUCGGGCUCUGGAUUUUUUUAUCAUAUCCACUGCAGGCGAGACCCGCUUUGCUAACUGAGUCAUACUAAAUUCACACCCUACCAAUAAUUAAUUUAUGGAAGUGUUGGAUUUGUAAGAUGAUUAAAAAUUAAAUUGGUAAGUAGCUUGUAAGGGUGGGAUUUUUUAUACAACAAGCGUAAGGUUCUCUUAGAGGUUCAUCUCAACAAUAUUCGUAGGCACUUCAACAUAUGAAGUGAAAAACCCCAAAGUUCAUGUCAACAAUUGAUUUGCAAAGGUAUUUGGUUUGUAUGAGCUUGGUUCAUGAAUAUUGCAAUCAUUACACAAAGUACAUGGUAUCAUUGAACAAGAAAGAAAGCUUCUUAUGACCAAGAUAAAAAGCGGCAGAGAGGUAACUUACUGCAGCUAUACCAUCUUGCUGUCAUAAUACUUGGCAUUUAACUCAGAACCCUCCAGCGUCAUUCCCACCACCCAAGAUAGCCAAAAUCUGGUAGAUACGAAAAAAACUUGGAAAUGAUGUAUCUCAGUUGGUAGCUUUUACUUCCUCCAUUCCUAAAUAUUUGUCUGUUAGAGGUUUCAAAUGGACUACCACAUACGGAUGUAUAUAGACAUAUUUUAGAGUGUAGAUUCACUCAUUUUGCUUCGUAUAUAGUCACUUGUUGAAAUCUCUAGAAAGACAAAUAUUUAGGAAUGGAGAGAGUAGUUAAGUAAAUACAAGUGAGAAUGCAAAAGCAUCAGUACCAAAGCUAGAUUUUGAAAAAUUCAUUGAAAGAUAAUGGAAGCAGCUUAUGGCACCAUGAGCUAGGCAGAACACUGAUAAUGAUUGCAAAUUUGUUGUACAUGUCUAGUUAUGUCCUUACCUCACUGUAAAAGAUAUUCUCACCGUCAGAACCCAACAAUGCUUGAGACUUGAAGAACAUUUCUUCCUUGCUGGUUUAUACUGAAGACCUGAUAGUUAAACUACGUUAGUUAUGUUCUUUACGAACAAAAGGAUCAAAAUGGUUCAGAGAAAGAAGGUGCAAUAGAAAGAAGAAAUUUGAUCAACUUGAUUAACAAAGUCAUAUUGACUUUUAUACAUCACUAAAACAUCAAUUUGAAGUAAGUGAUAAACCAAUAACCUUGGUGCAUCAGAAUAUGAUUUGUUAGACUAAUAUUUACAGGGCUAGCAUUUGAUUUCGAACACAUAUAAUCUCUAGUAAUUUUAUUCUCUUCUUCCACAAUUCGUGCUUGUUGCUUGGGCAGGUAACCACCGAAGAAUAUGGCAAGCCAACAAUACAGAAACUUUGUAUACACAAAACCUUAAUUUCGAACCAUGUGGACGGAACAACUCUAUUCAACCCUGAACUCUUGUGUGUAGACUUGGUUAUGGAUUCGGUAGUUCAUGUAGUAGCAUGGCACAGAGAAAUUUAGUUGUUUCCCAUAGACAUGUCCUCUCCUGCCCAGCGCCAUACAUCACCUACAAUCUGAAUUCCGCGGGGCACUAAUCCGAGACCCAACCUACUUGUGCAGUUGCUGGAGAACCAUGGUGAAGAAGUUGCCCACCAAGAGUCCCUUGUAGAAAAACAAAGUAUGAUUGAAUGA
rnacentral:lncRNA from 1 species